UGCCACAGCGUGAUCCAGAUCCACUUUCAUUCAAUAUGCUGUCACUCAGUCAAGGGGUUUCAUACCCAUGAGUAGGUAAAAAAAAUCAGUUUUCUAAAAUGGUACUUGUUCGAAGUUACGAUCCUUUGAGUGUCUACCCUGAAAAUUUACCGACCGGAUGAGCAGCGAUAAGGAAGGAUAUUAAAAGAAGGAAGAAUGAGGUUGACACAAUAAAAAAAAAAGAUCUAUGGGAAGCGUUGACAUCUCGGGAAGAUCCGUCAUAUGGCCCAGGAAUUAACGAUUUCAUCUAAGUUUCAAAUACACCAGUUAUUUUAUUGUCAGUGAAAACCGUGCUCAUAACUUUAAACAGUGUUUUCAAUAUCUGUACCAGAAACAUCCUCGCGACUAUUAGACAGAUCGGGACCUACUUUUGCACAAUAAAAAAAUGGCUGAGGCACGUCUGGUACCGCAUACGCUGUGAACAAAAACACGUCCCAGGAAAACUACUGCCACUGUUUUACCGUUUGAUAUUUUUCAACUAAAUUUUUACACAGCUUAGAUAAAAUGUCACGCUUCGGAAGAUGUAUAAUGGUUGUUCAAUAAAAUU